CGCCGCUGCUGUGCGCGUUGCGGGAGGGCAGCGGCGAAAGAGCCGCCACAGGAGCCCGCAGCUAUAGAAACGGCAGGGACGAAACGGAUGAAACGUUAGAGCGCCGCAGAACGGUGCGAGGUGGAUGAGCGACGGCCGGACGUUCAGAAAUAAGAGAUUAAAGCAAGGUGGGACUACACAUUCGUCGUGAAGGAAAACCAAAACAGCAGUCAUAAACGUUUCCCAGGAGCUUUGAGGAAGAAGGCAGCUGCAACUUUUGCUUUUAUCUGUAUUUGAAACUGGAGAUCAUUUACACUGUCUACAUGAGGCAACAUGGACACAAGGCUUCAGCCUGCACAUUAAUCCUGCAGCUCAGUAAACAUCACUAAAACAAAUUUCCUCAUGAAGCACAGGAGGACGCACUCUCCUCUAAAGAAUCCCGAGUGCUGCAGUCCUGACAACACAGCGUGAGGUCUGCGGCACAGCAAGGAGAUUAACCAAACAUGAGGCACUAAAAUAUUG